rnacentral:tRNA from 1 species
UCUAAUUGGCAGACUAGUGCAUUAAGUUUAAGCCUUAAUUAUAAACAAUUAAUCAGU